rfam:Pichia kudriavzevii strain SD108 contig04377, whole genome shotgun sequence.
CCCUCUUUAGCUCAGUUGGAAGAGCGCGAGACUGUAAUGGAAUACAAGACAUCUUGAGGUCUCUGGUUCGAUCCCGGAAGGAGGGA